CGCGGCGUCGGGCGGCCCUGCGCCCAGCCACUGUGGUCGCGGUGCGUCUCUCGUGCCCACCUGGUGAUGCUCUGAUUGGCCGAGCUCGCAUCGGCCCACCCAGUAGUUCCGGUCGGCCGAGGCUCGCGCCUGCGCAGUGCACUAGGCUGUCAGGUAAAGGGCUGGCAAGCGGUGGCAGAGAGUAGUGCUGUCAUGACUGAGGGCACGUGUCUGCGGCGUCGUGGGGGACCCUAUAAAACUGAGCCCGCCACCGAUCUCACCCGCUGGCGGCUCCAGAAUGAGUUGGGUCGGCAGAGAUGGACUUAUUAUCAAGCGGAGGACGACCCUGGUCGAGAGCAGACCGGGCUAGAGGCCCACUCUUUGGGACUGGACACAAGAAGUUAUUUCACGGACUUACCAAAAGCGCAAACAGCCCAUGAGGGGGCCCUGAAUGGAGUAACCUUUUAUGCCAAGCUGCAGGCUGAGGAUGGACACUGGGCUGGUGAUUAUGGUGGUCCGCUCUUCCUCUUGCCAGGUCUCCUGAUUACCUGUCACAUAUCACACAUCUCUCUGCCAGCUGGAUACAGAGAGGAGAUGGUGCGGUACCUGCGGUCAGUGCAGCUCCCUGAUGGCGGCUGGGGCUUGCACAUCGAGGACAAGUCCACAGUGUUUGGGACUGCCCUGAACUAUGUGGCUCUCAGAAUCCUGGGUAUUGGGCCUGAUGAUCCUGACCUUGUGCGCGCUCGGAACGUCCUUCACAAAAAAGGUGGUGCGGUGGCCAUCCCUUCCUGGGGGAAGUUCUGGCUGGCUGUCCUGAAUGUUUAUAGCUGGGAAGGACUCAACACCCUAUUCCCUGAGAUGUGGCUGUUUCCUGAAUGGGUACCAGCGCACCCCUCCACUCUCUGGUGUCACUGCCGGCAGGUCUAUCUGCCCAUGAGUUACUGCUACGCCACUCGGCUAAGUGCCUCAGAGGACCCACUGGUUCAGAGCCUCCGCCAGGAACUCUAUGUGCAGGAUUACGCCAGCAUCGAUUGGCCAGCGCAGAGGAACAACGUGUCCCCCGAUGAGAUGUACACGCCACACAGCUGGCUGCUGCAUGUGGUGUAUGGACUCCUCAACCUGUAUGAACGUUUCCAUAGCACCAGCCUGCGGAAGUGGGCCGUCCAGAUGCUGUAUGAACACAUUGCAGCUGAUGACUGUUUCACUAAGUGCAUCAGCAUCGGCCCGAUCUCAAAGACCAUCAACAUGCUUGUUCGUUGGUCAGUGGAUGGACCAUCCUCCCCGGCCUUCCAGGAGCACGUUUCUCGGAUCAAAGAUUACCUUUGGCUGGGCCUUGAUGGCAUGAAAAUGCAGGGCACCAAUGGAUCACAGAUCUGGGACACUUCAUUUGCUAUCCAAGCACUGUUAGAGGCAGGUGCACACCACAGACCUGAGUUUCUGCCCUGCCUGCAGAAGGCUCACGAGUUCCUGCGGCUUUCACAGGUUCCAGAAAACUGUCCUGACUAUCAGAAGUACUAUCGCCAUAUGCGCAAGGGUGGUUUCUCCUUCAGCACACUGGACUGUGGCUGGAUCGUUGCUGACUGCACAGCCGAGGGUUUGAAGGCUGUGCUGCUCCUGCAGAAUCAGUGUCCGUCCAUCACUGAGCAUAUCCCCCGAGAGCGGCUGUGCGAUGCUGUGGAUGUGUUACUGAGCUUGAGGAAUGCUGAUGGCGGGUUCGCUACCUAUGAGAAGAAGCGUGGGGGUUACUUGCUGGAGCUGCUGAACCCCUCAGAGGUCUUUGGAGACAUCAUGAUUGACUACACGUAUGUAGAGUGUACCUCCGCUGUGAUGCAGGCACUGAAGCAUUUCCAUGAACACUUCCCAGACUACAGGGCAGCAGAGGUCAGGUAAGGAAGGGAGACCCUCAAUCAAGGCCUGGACUUCUGCCGAAGGAAGCAGAGAGCCGAUGGCUCCUGGGAGGGCUCCUGGGGUGUUUGUUUCACCUACGGCACCUGGUUUGGCUUGGAAGCGUUCGCUUGCAUGGGGCAUACCUACCAAGAUGGGGCUGCUUGUGCAGAAGUAGCUCAGGCCUGCAACUUCCUCCUGUCCCAGCAGAUGGCGGAUGGAGGCUGGGGAGAGGACUUUGAAUCAUGUGAACAGCGGCGGUAUGUGCAGAGUGCUAGGUCCCAGGUCCAUAGCACCUGCUGGGCCCUGAUGGGUUUGAUGGCUGUCAGGCAUCCCGACAUCACUGCUCAGGAGAGAGGGAUCAGAUGUCUGCUAGGGAAGCAGUUACCCAAUGGAGACUGGCCUCAGGAGAACAUCUCUGGGGUCUUCAACAAGUCCUGUGCCAUCAGCUACACAAGUUACAGAAACAUCUUCCCCAUCUGGGCCCUGGGCCGCUUCUCCAACCUGUAUCCUGACAAUACCCUCGCCGGCCACAUUUGAACACGUGUGUGUCUGCUGCACCUGGCCAGCAUCAUCACCAUCCAGGUCCUGGAGAGCCCCGUGUCUUGGCUGGGUGAUAAGAGCCUUCUUAGCCCUGCUUAGGCCUCGUUCUCUAUUUCUGUAGACAGGAGGCUGGGGAUAGGGUCAGUGUUGGUGUCUUUAGACACUUGUCAGUGUGCGCUUAAAGUUCUUGGACUAGCUUCAGUGAGAAAGGGAAGAAGAUGAGCCUUGAGAUCCAGAGAGGCGCAGUGGAUGGACUCGGAAGCUCCUGGGUAUUCGUUCUCCCCGAGGGAGAGAGGCUAUAGAGCUUCUGUGAUCAAUGACUUCCCUGUGAGGGAGCAGCUGGCUUCUUCACUGCUUCCCUUGUUGAUUGUGGAGUGGGCACUUGAGCAUCUUGUGUUUGCUGUGCUGAGGGAGUUAGAGCAGCCAUAUGGUGCAGGGGUGCUCAGAGAAAGGCUCAAUGGCAGGUGAGGCAGGUCCCUUACUCAUUGUGCCCUGAGCAGUGUCUGGUGUCCCUAGAAACUUGCUACCCAUGACUACAUCACUAUAUGAAAUGCCAGUUAUUCAGAAAGGAAAUACAAACUGGCUUUGUACCAGAAAUGCUACUAAAAGUCAUUUGAAUGAUCACCGACUCCCUUACUAAACAGACCCUGGGCGUAGUAAAGAACAGCGGCUGCUCUCUCAGAGGACCUGGGUUUGAUUCCUGGCACCCACCUGGUGGCUAACAGCAUGUAACUCCAGUUCUCAGGGAACCCAAUGUCAUCUUCUGGCCUCUGUGGGCACUGCACACAUGGUACAUAGACAUACAUACACUCAUAACAUCUAUACACAUAAAAUAAAUCCUGAAAAUAAAAUAUUAAAAACAACCACCUGCCUUCCUGAGACAUUUCAUCCUGGAGUGUCUAUGCUGAGUCUGUGUGGCAAGGAGCCAGUUGUAGCAUCCAAUUCUGCCCCCAGAUUAUAUGCUUAUACAAUUGCAUUGGUUUCUUACAAGAUCAGCAUCCUGAUGUCCAGGCUUCUCAGUCCUUGUUGAGAUAGAGACGCACACGUGGGGGAGCCAUUAGGGUAGACAGUGGUUGUAACGGUUCCUGCCAUGGGACAGUGCUGGAGCAAGGACAGCUAAUCAUAUCCAGCUCACCACUUAGACACACCAAGGCAGCCAGGAAAAUGCCCAUGACACCCAAAGAUCGUUAUCAGCCCAUAUGCCAGCUGUGCUUUGUGAGUCCAAGUGAGGGCCAGAUGUCUGAGGCAAUCCUUUUUGGGUGUGAGCUCUUAAGUUCCUGAUUGUAACUGUGUGUCUGGCCAGAGCAGGCAGAGUUCAGGGUGGAAACUAUGUGUCUCCUUGAAGUUACUGCCUUUCUCUCUGGCCAUGGUGAGCGGGGUCCAGCUGGAUGCCCCUUUAGUUAACUAACUCUCGGCAUCUGUAGUGCUUUCUGCACUGGUAUCUCCAAUCGCUCCCUGACCCAUAGUCUUCCCUCCGACAAGCAGAAAGCUGUGUCUGAUCCCCAUUCCCCUGUGCAGGACCCUCUAGGGCAGCCUUUGGCCAUGGUGCACUUUGUGCCCUCUGCCUGUUGCCCAGCUGCCACCAUCGACACCUUGUGCUGUGACUCAGGGCUUUCCUGCCUUAGUGGCCCGUGCUGUUCACAGCACUGACUUCUAACCUCUGCCAGGAGUAGAACUGGUGAACUCAGCUAGAUCUGCUCCUAGCAGCAGCAACCAUCCCUUGGAAUUCCCGGUUACGAACCAGAUCACUGUACAUUCCCUUAACAAACAGACUGCUGGCGAGACGUGCUUUAGGCUGUAGCAGGUCAUGCUGUGGAGUUCUCCGGACAUGCUGGUUUACCAGCCCCAGUUUAGGGAGUUCUCCGGGCUCCGCGGGGGGUGGGGGUUGGUGGGGGGACACUCACCAGAUAACUGUCCAGAAGAAGUUCUUAAGGAUGCUUAAAAUGAAAGUUGGAGCCUGUCAGGAAUAAUUCGGAAUGCUGAUGGCUUUUCCUGUGGAGUCACAGCACAUUUCCUUGGUUAACUAUGAUGUGAACCUCAACACGGUUUUGAGGGAUUCUUUAGUAAGAAAUGUUGACAUUUCUGCCCCCCCCUCCCCCACGCUGAAGCAGUUUUCCUGUGUGGUACUCACUAUGACAUGAUCUUCACUACGUAGUCCAGGAUGGCCUCAAGCUUGAGGGUAGUCCUGCCUCCACCUUCAGAGCGCUGGGAUACAGGCGUGUGCCACCAUCCCCUGCUGAAGGGCUUGAUGGUUAAGUCUCUCUGACAAAGUAUUUUUUCCUUUUAAAAUAUGACUUACUGCUAAGUAGAAUUGAAUUUACUAAGAUGUUUUUAUUUAAAUAAAUUUUUGCUGAAUGCUGUUUUCUCAUGAUCUGUUUUAACAAAUACAACUGUAUGGUGAUAUAUAGUUAAUCAGAUUGAUUUAUUUUUAAUUAGUUAAUUUAUUAAUUGGUUUGAGACAGGGUCUCACUGUAUAGCUCUGGCCAUCCUGGGACUCAAUAUGUAUAUAGAGCAGGCUAGCUUCCAGUUCACAGAAGUCCACCUGCCUCUUCCUCCAAGUGCUGGGAUUAAAGGCAUGCACUACAAUAUAUGACUUUCAACUUGACUUAUUUCCAUCUUAACUUUAUUUUAUCUCUGUAUUUUAUGCAGAUACUACUACUAUCUGUUUUUCUAAAGCUUCAGAUGUUUUUAUUCAAAGGUUUACAAAAGGAAUAAAACAGAAAAAGCUAACAAUGUGAUCAAAUGUACAGUUCCAAAAUGGCCUUUGGGGCUUUAACAGUGAGUCCUAGGAAGGAAACUGCAGUCAUCCUGACCUCGUAGAUAAGUCUCCUGGCAAGGGGGUAGUACCCGUAGAAUGCUAAAAAUUAGCUCUUGAUCAUGUACUUCACUAUGAAAAUCUUUUUUAAAAAAUCUGUAUAAAAGGUCUUUAUAAAUCAAUUUUUAAAUAAUGGACAUCCACUAUGUGAUAUGUAACUGACUUUUGUUUUAUGUAUAGAGGUUAUAUUUCCCAAAUCUGACCCAGAUGAGUAUGGUACUCAGUUCAGACAUAGCUAGCAGCUGAUUUUCCCCUUCUCUCCUGACUGAAUUAUCAACUUCUUGUCUGAACUAAUGCAAAAACAAUCCAGCAGUGAGAGACCUGGAAUGAUAAAUGUGCUAGGUACACGAUGGAGAGGCGUUCAGUGUGGACUCCCACAAAGCAGAGUGUCUAGGAUGUGUGGGCCCAGUCACAUCAACGCUUCUUAAAAGGAAACAAGAACAAAACCACAUUUCUCUUAUGAGUAUAAUUUUCAUUAGGAUCUACACUUCCCAGUGCAGCAAGGAUGCUUGAAACGAUGAAAUGCCAAUGAUACCCAUCAUCAAAGACAAGCAAUCAAGGCCAGGCUUAAUGGCACAUGCCUUUAAUCCCAGCACUUGAGAGGCAGCGGCAACAGCAGACGAAUUUCUGAGUUCAGGGCCAGCCUGGUCUACUGCAGAGUGAGUUCCAGGACAGCCAGGAAUACAUAGAGAAACCCUGUCUCAAAAAAAAACCCAAAGCCAACCAACCAAACAAAAAGACAAGUAAUCAAAUUUAAGAACUAAAGUCCUCGAAAGAAAGAACUGCUUAGCCCUAGCUCUGGAGCUAGGGGGACUUGCUUGACAGAAAGAGGGCCAGCAACCUGUCCUAGCACAAAAGAAAAACAGCCUUUGAGGUAGAUAGCUGAUCAUACACAGCCAAUCACGCGCACAGUUUUGGAAAACAACAUUGCUUUUAAGAAAUUGUUUUGGGUUUGGAUUCAUGGCUCAGUACUUAAGAGCACUAGCUUAAUUCCCAGCACCCACAGGGCAGCUCACAAUCUACUGUAACUCAAAUUCUAGGAGAUCUGACAUCCUCACACCAAUGCACAUUAAAUAAAACAGUUAAAAAGUAUUAAAAAUUGCCUUAAUAAAAAAGUAACAGUGAAGUAUCUCAUGUUCUGAAGUAGAAAUAAUUAGGAAUGAGCAAUGUUUCAAAAUUGUUUUCUUUUUCUUUUCACUUGAACACUACAAACAUUAUGCAGCAAUGACAAAUAAAGUGUGGCACUGCUUGGA